GUGCUCCGCUCCCCGGUUCCCCAGCUACCCCGGCCUCUCUGUCCUCAGGCGGUACUGUUCUCUCUGCCCGGCAUUUCAAGAGCAAAGGUACACUUUAGAUCCUCCUGGGUUUGUGCCACUUCUACGUAGUAGAUGUGCAAUAAAAAGCUUGGGAACGAAUGAAGAAAUUGAAAGAAACGAAAGCAUAGAACACAAGGGGCCAGCACUUUACAGUCUAAAUAUCAUACUGUACGUAAGACCGAAGGCCCUAAUUCAUCACGACCGUGGAAGGCUUUUUCACGUCCUUCCUAAAACUGACUCUGAGAGACAGACGUGACUGAUGUUUCUUUGGGCCACUUUUAUGGAUGGAUACUCGAGGGUUUGCUUUAAUCAGGAACGAAGGUAACUUGAAAAUCACAGCGCUCUACUCUCCUACUGAACCCAUCACAAGGUUAGAACCACCUGACAUCAGUCUCCCUUUCCUCAUUUCCGGGGAACGGUCCAACAAAUGGCCGUUUAGCCUCCACACACCGACCGUCAAGUGCAGCGACUGAUUCGGUCAGAGCUUAGCUUCUUAGUCAACUGGCGCGCAGCCCUGGAAGCCAGCACCUGCCCCGCGGCAGCAUGCGAUCUGCGGCACUGGCGAAGAACCGCGCAGACAGCGCCACUGUCCGAGUCUGGACGCGCCCGCUUCAGACCGAGGACACGCACGUGUGCGGCGCUUUCACUCGGCCCCUUACACUCAUGACGUGAGCGAACCGGAGUCACAGCAGCAAGGCAGGCGACGGGCGUGACGCGAACUGCUACCGCAGGAUGAUGCCGAUCCCGGGGCCUGCGGGGCGCGGUCACCGCCCCCUGUCCCGGGCUCUGAGGUCAUCGGGGAGCAUCCCAGGGACAAAGAGCAGUGUGAGUCCCGCCUGUGUCCCCCACCUCCCGCUCCCUCAUCCGUCUGUGACGCUGGCCAGGGCCAUCCCGCUGCGCCUCUGCGGACCUGCCCUGGGGUUUCUGUUCCACAGCAGGGGAGCGCGCUCAGGGGCCAGAGGAACGGCCAGCUCCCUUCCCAGACAGCGGGGCUGGCCAAGCUCAUCCCGGAGACGUCCCAGAGCGCAGAACCCAGCAGGAGACAGCGCUGGCUGGGACCAUCCCUCGGGCCUGGAAACCGAGGCUCAGGACCGCCGCAGCUCUGCAGGGCCAGGACGGCACGCAGCGCUGCCGGGGCCUCCCGGGCCUCCACUCAGCACCCUACCCCGGCUGAAUCUGAGACUGGGAGAGCUUCCCCACCCACACGCCAUCCCAGAGGAAGAGCAAACACAGCCCGUGGAAAAUGAAGCCCUGUUCUGUGGGUCACAAAGGCAAACCCCCAGAAGAGAAGCCAACACGGAAGGCAGCAGGAUCGAGUCCCUAAAUCUCAAGCUCGCAGCGUGCAUGCUGUCCAGUGCUCCCGCUUGGAAAGUCAGAGAGGAAAGGGAAGGAGGAGACCAUGGACAGAAGGGCAGAGAGCCCGAGGUGUUCUGCACCACGUGACCUGGGCACAGGGACACUCACAGCAAAGUCUCCGGCUCACCCGUAUCUGAGCUUCAAAUCCCUCCAGGAAAAUUUCAGGAACAGAGGGAUCAAACCCAUGCGAGAUGUGUUGUGUUCAGGUACCAGCUCCACACAGGAAUGUGAACAUCGUGUACACAGUACACAGUACUCACACUAGAAUUCACACAGGAGUCACACCAGUAUUUACACUAGAAUUCACACGGGUUCACACUAGAAUUCACACUAGGAGUCACACUAGAAUUCACACAGGACUCACAUGAGAUUUCACACAGGAGUCACACUAGAAUUCACAAAUUCACACUAGAUUUCACAGGAAUUCACACUAGAAUUCACACAAGAUUCACACUAGGAUUCACACCGGAGUCACACUAGGAUUCACAGAGUCACUAGCAUUCACACAGGAGUCACACUCAAAUUCACACAGAUUCACAUGGGUUCACACUCUGAGUCACACUAGAAUUCACAGGGAUUCACACUAGAAAGCAGUUUGGCAGUGACACUUGCAUCCGAUCACACCCACGCCCUAUGAUUCUAUCCCAAGCAAGUCUACUCCUAGACACACAUCUUACAAAAGUGCUUUCAAAUGUGCACCAAAUACUUGUACAAUAAUUGGCAAAAGAGCAUUUUUCAUGACAACCCCACUUUGGAAACAACCUGCAUGUCUCUGAGCAGCACAAUGCUCCCAAUGCACAGCCUGAAGUGGACUUUGUAUAUCAUCUUCACGCUCUGUGGCUGAACCCCCGCUACAGGCAACGCCGUGAGCAAUCGCUUUGGGCGAUAUUAGGGUCUGAACCCAGGGCCCCUACACCGAGCUACAUCCACAGCC
ensembl:lncRNA